UACGAAGGGAGCUAGCGUUGUUCGGAAUCACUGGGCGUAAAGCGCACGUAGGCGGAUGUGUCAGUCAGGGGUGAAAUCCCGGAGCUCAACUUCGGAACUGCCCUUGAUACAGCACGUCUUGAGUCCGGAAGAGGUGGGUGGAAUUCCUAGUGUAGAGGUGAAAUUCGUAGAUAUUAGGAAGAACACCAGAGGCGAAGGCGGCGCACUGGACAGCAACUGACACUCAACUGCGAAAGCGUGGGGAGCAAACAGG
rnacentral:rRNA from 1 species